rnacentral:rRNA from 1 species
UCCCAUGCGGGGGACACACUGGGGGAAAUUUUACACAAGGCGCAAACGCGAAACAUACCAAACGCGCGUGAGCAAAAACCCCCUUGGGUGUAUAACCCUUUAAGGCCCGAGGAGAGUCCAGUUGUUUUAACCCGGAGGGAUAAGGCCGUACCCGCAGAAUAAGCCCCGGCUAAAUUUGUUCCCGCCGCCGCGGUAAUUCGGAGGGGGCCAGCCUUAAUUGGAAUUACUGGGGGUAAAGCGCUGGUCGGCGGCUUUUUAAGUACGAUGGGAAAACCCCGGGCUUCACCCUGGAAUUGCCUUUGAUACUGGCAAGCUUGAAUCCCGGAGAGGGCGGUAGAAUUUCCGGUGUAGCGGUGAAAUUCGUAGAAAUUUGGAAGAACCCCCGUGGCGAAGGCCGCCCCCUGGCCUCAUAAUGACCGUGAGGUCCGAAAGCCUGGGGAGCCAACCGGAUUAGAUACCCUGGUAGUUCCCCCCGUAAACGAUGUUCACUAGCCGUUGGGGCCUUUGAGGCCUCAGUGGCGCAGCUAACGCGUAAGUGCUCCGCCUGGGAGUACGCCGCAGUU